UUAUUUGAGAGUUUGAUCCUGGCUCAGGAUGAACGCUGGCGGCGUGCCUAACACAUGCAAGUUGAGCGAUUUACUUCGGUAAAGAGCGGCGGACGGGUGAGUAACGCGUGGGUAACCUACCCUGUACACACGGAUAACAUACCGAAAGGUAUGCUAAUACGGGAUAAUAUAUUUGAGAGGCAUCUCUUGAAUAUCAAAGGUGAGCCAGUACAGGAUGGACCCGCGUCUGAUUAGCUAGUUGGUAAGGUAACGGCUUACCAAGGCGACGAUCAGUAGCCGACCUGAGCGGGUGAUCGGCCACAUUGGAACUGAGACACGGUCCAAACUCCUACGGGAGGCAGCAGUGGGGAAUAUUGCACAAUGGGCGAAAGCCUGAUGCAGCAACGCCGCGUGAGUGAUGAAGGCCUUCGGGUCGUAAAACUCUGUCCUCAAGGAAGAUAAUGACGGUACUUGAGGAGGAAGCCCCGGCUAACUACGUGCCAGCAGCCGCGGUAAUACGUAGGGGGCUAGCGUUAUCCGGAUUUACUGGGCGUAAAGGGUGCGUAGGCGGUCUUUCAAGUCAGGAGUGAAAGGCUACGGCUCAACCGUAGUAAGCUCUUGAAACUGGGAGACUUGAGUGCAGGAGAGGAGAGUGGAAUUCCUAGUGUAGCGGUGAAAUGCGUAGAUAUUAGGAGGAACACCAGUUGCGAAGGCGGCUCUCUGGACUGUAACUGACGCUGAGGCACGAAAGCGUGGGGAGCAAACAGGAUUAGAUACCCUGGUAGUCCACGCUGUAAACGAUGAGUACUAGGUGUCGGGGGUUACCCCC
rnacentral:rRNA from 1 species